UACAGAGGGUGCAAGCGUUGUUCGGAAUUAUUGGGCGUAAAGCGCGUGUAGGCGGCUUUGCAAGUCGGGUGUGAAAGCCCUCGGCUCAACCGAGGAAGUGCGCCCGAAACUGCAGAGCUUGAGUACCGGAGAGGAUGGCGGAAUUCCCCAAGUAGAGGUGAAAUUCGUAGAUAUGGGGAGGAACACCGGUGGCGAAGGCGGCCAUCUGGACGGAUACUGACGCUGAGACGCGAAAGCGUGGGGAGCAACAGG
rnacentral:rRNA from 1 species